rnacentral:misc_RNA from 1 species
AACGCACGAGACCUGCGGACCUGCGGAAGGAUCAUUAAUGAGAAACUGCCCCUCGCGGGUAGAUCUCCCACCCUUUGUAAACUUACCUUUGUUGCUUUGGCAGGCCCGUCUCCGGACCGCCGGCUUCGGCUGGCCAGUGCCUGCCAGAGGAUUCUAAAACUCUGUCUGUCAGUGUUGUCUGAGUCUAUAUACAAUCGUUAAAACUUUUAACAAUGGAUCUCUAGAUCGGAAGAGGACACG